AAGGUUUCCAUCGUGAAGGAAAAAAAAGUUAAAAUCAUCUCUAGGUGCUGGACUCUCUUCUCACUCUUGGCCGACUUCCAGGAGCUGCAAGUCCUUUGCACAUGUCCAGACUGCUUUCAGAGGGGGAGCUGGGCCGUGAGGAGGUGGUACUCUAGCACUGCAGAAGGCCAAACUGGAGACUCCAGCAGGAGUGAGCUGUGGAAGCAUUGUGUCACGGAAGCAGCACCUGGACUUCUGCCACUGAGAGGUAAUUCUCAGCAUCACUAUCAACAGUAUUCUUGUGGGUGUAAUAUUUGUUUUGCAUGCAUUUUAUUGCUUUGGGGCUUUUUAUUUAAUUCCAGCUUUAAGCCAAGUAGUGUUACAUUAGAAGGGGGAGGGGGGCAAUUGAGAAAUGAGUUCUUUAUAAACACUGUCCGCUGUAUAAUGGUACAAAUCAAGCAUGUCAGUGAAAUUUUGGACAAGAAUAAGUGCAUCUAACACAAGGUUUAUGCUUUAAUUUAAAACAUGAAACAUUCCCCAAACAAACAGAAAGACCCUGUUAUUAUUACAUUUUUGAGAUUUGUAGCAGUAGUUCUUUAAGGCCCCUUUAAAAAAGAAGUAUUCUAAAAGUCCAGAAAAAUGUACAGGUUCAGUUGCUUAAAAUAUUGUAGCUCCUAAUUUUCUAUAGAGGAGCAUUGUCGUAUGAUGACAGUUGCUAUUGAUUCCUCCUCGUUUAAUUGUCAAGUCCUGUACCCAGUCCAUUUCUUUCUCUGAUCAGCUGUUCAUGGACAGGUUUGUCUCAUAGUAAGUGACUGGUAGACGUAGCCUAAUGAGUAAGCUUGGUAACAAGAGAGGUAUUUGUUUGAAGACCUGACAGGAGAAGGAUGGUCAUCAUGGUUGCAUACCCUCUGGAAAAAAAUACCUUUUAAGUUAUCAGGACAUCAUCAUAUUCACUAUGCUCUUCAGGGCUGGUGACAUUUGCCUUCCCCUCGGGCACACUGAUAAGUGCAUAUUCUGUCUGAUAAUUGCUGUCAAUUGUUAUGAACAAAAAAAUGUUACCCUUUUUUUUUAAGAGAAGGAGCAGCAGAGGAGUUUUUAAGUUGAUCUGAGAGUUGACCAUUGGCCAGGAGUUCUUUGUUAGUGAAAUGUUGUAACCGCCAGUUAAGUAUCCUUAAGUAUCACCAUUUGACUCUCUAUUGUGGAAGAUUCUUGUUUUUCAGCACCACCCUAGUCUGUUGCCAGGAGGAUGACAACCCCCCUCGGACGGUGGGGAGAGGGGGAUAUUUGCAAAUAUCCUCAGGAGACAUGCAAAUUUACCUCCAAACCCAGACUACCUUGGGACAGGACCUUUACCAAAUCCUGGAAAAUACCACAAAAGAGACGAGCCAAAGCAGAAUAAAAAAGUCAGAGUGGUGUCUGGACAGCAGGGCCGAGGUCCGAAGCCAGCAGAGACGCUUGAAAACCUCAGUCACUCCUUGCCCCAACUACAAACGAUACCAGUCAGACCCAGGACCUGCUGAACUGACAACCCAAACUGAAACCCUGGGUAUACCCCACUGCCUUGCGAGGACAGGGCUCCCGUCUCUGCCCCCUUGGGGACAGAGCUGCAAAUCCUCCUCUUCUGAUUCACUGCUGGGAGCGGCAGCAAAACUCCGCAGAUCUACCAAAACCCCCAUUUUCGAGCUGAUCACUUUAAUAAAGGCAUUAAAAAGGAGGAGAA